AGCGAACGUUAGCGGCGCGCCUAACACAUGCAAGUCGCACGGAGUAGCAAUACUCAGUGGCGCACGGGUGCGUAACACGUAGAUAACCUGCCCUGAAAUGGGGGAUAACGUUCCGAAAGGAGCGCUAAUACCGCAUAACGCCGAGAUGGGUUCGCCUGUUUCGGACAAAGGCUGGGACCAGCAAUGGCCAGUCGUUUUGGGAGGGGUCUGCGGCCCAUAAGCUAGUUGGUAAGGUAAUGGCUUACCAAGGCAAAGACGGGUAGCUGGUCUGAGAGGAUGAUCAGCCACACUGGUACUGGAACACGGACCAGACUCCUACGGGAGGCAGCAGUGGGGAAUCUUGGUCAAUGGGCGCAAGCCUGAACCAGCGACGCCGCGUGAGUGAUGAAGGCCUUCGGGUUGUAAAGCUCUGUGGGGAGGGACGAAAGACUGAGGUCUAAUAGGCUUCAGGUUGACGGUACCUCCUUAGCAAGCACCGGCUAACUCUGUGCCAGCAGCCGCCGCAGUAA
rnacentral:rRNA from 1 species